rnacentral:rRNA from 1 species
UAUCUCUGUAGAGUCUGCAUAUCAAUAAGCGGAGGAAAAGAAACUAACUAGGAUUCCCUUAGUAACGGCGAGUGAAGCGGGAAGAGCUCAAAUUUGAAAUCUUCAAGGGUUCUACCUUUACGAAUUGUAGUUUAAAGAAGUGUUUUCUGUUGGAGUUUCGGUAAAAGUUCUUUGGAAUAGGACAUCAUAGAGGGUGAGAAUCCCGUAUUUGACCAUUAUUACCAGCUUUGUGAUACACUUUCAAAGAGUCGGAUUGUUUGGGAAUGCAGUCCAAAAUGGGUGGUAAAUUUCAUCUAAAGCUAAAUACUGGCGAGAGACCGAUAGCGAACAAGUACCGUGAGGGAAAGAUGAAAAGAACUUUGAAAAGAGAGUUAAACAGUACGUGAAAUUGUCAAAAGGGAAGCGUUUGACACCAGUGUUGUUUUCUCGAAAAUCAAUUAAAAAAGGCAGGAUUUUGUGUUGUAUUGACUUUAUCAGCUUUCUGCACUCUUUUCUUGUCUUUUUUAAUGCACUUUUCGUUUAACAAGUCAACAUCAAUUUCUUUUGUUGUAAAAGGGUCAUUGGAAGGUGGCUUUCUUUUCGGAGAAAGUGUUUAUAGCCUUUGGCCUCUGCAAUCGGAGAGAUUGAGGUCUGCAGCGUAGAUCCUUCGGGGUUAGAUACAUUUGUGCUAAGUUAUAGCCUUUCAUAGACAACUUGUUGACUAUGAUCAGUCAUGUAGCUUACUCGCUUAUGCUAUUUUACCUACGCUUAGGAUGUUGACGAUCAGCUGAGCGCG